rnacentral:lncRNA from 1 species
UCAAUUCAUUGUUCGUUCAUUUGUUUGAUGCUAAGUACAACUGUUACAUAAUCAUUCAACUGUUGCAUGGUUUCUUCUUUCAAGGCUCACUGAAACAAAUAUAUUUUAUUGUGGAAGUGCCAAUUAACAGGACUGGAUUCAGGAAUUUGGCAAUAGCACAUACGAAAAUUACUACCCAUAACUUGUGGUUUUAUUAUUAUGUAAUUGUAAGGUAUCUCAAGCAACC